UCCGGUUUGUCACCGGCAGUCUCGCAUGAGUCCCCGGCCGAACCGCUGGCAACAUGCGACGAGGGUUGCGCUCGUUGCGGGACUUAACCCAACAUCUCACGACACGAGCUGACGACAGCCAUGCACCACCUGUGAUUCUGCCCCGAAGGGAAGCCCUGUUUCCAGGGCGGUCAGGAACAUGUCAAGCCCAGGUAAGGUUCUUCGCGUUGCGUCGAAUUAAGCCACAUGCUCCGCCGCUUGUGCGGGCCCCCGUCAAUUCCUUUGAGUUUAAGCCUUGCGGCCGUACUCCCCAGGCGGGGUGCUUAAUGCGUUAGCUUCGGCACAGAGCGGGUCAAACGCCGCCCCACACCUAGCACCCAACGUUUACGGCUAGGACUAC
rnacentral:misc_RNA from 1 species